ACUGUAAGAAAUCUCCGAGCCUUUCCACCUUUAGCUAUGGCAAUGGUGGCUAGGCCGUAAGGGUACUUUUGGGAAACCAUUGUGCCUCCCAUUGUGGAAAGGAGAGCAUGGUAUUGUCUG
rnacentral:ncRNA from 2 species